AUUCUCGUCCCGGGAAAGCAAAGGAACGACUUCGAUCUCCCCUCCCUCCUCCUCGCGAUGGCUCCGCUUCACCACCCGAUCUUGUGAUCAGACCGACGAGGGAUGCAUCGAGGUCGAUGUCCGGAAAAGGACAAAUGAAACUGCUAUGAUGUUCGCUGCGGUAUGCGAAGAUCCAGAAUCAAGCUCUUCAUCCGUACACGACACACUACCAUAUCUCAGAAUUUUUCUUGGCUCAGCAAGAAGAAUGGUUGGGAGUGAGAUCAUAUCAGUAGUGGUUGCCAUGGUGCAUUGGAUUCACUGGGGAGCUAACCUUGU